UAAAAUAAAGCUGAGAGAUCAGAUUCAUUCUGUCCCUAUCUACUAUCUAGCGAAACCACAGCCAAGGGAACGGGCUUGGAAUAAUUAGCGGGGAAAGAAGACCCUUUUGAGCUUGACUCUAAUCUGGCAGUGUAAGGAGACAUAAGAGGUGUAGCAUAAGUGGGAGAUAUUAGAUUUCGGUUCGGUAUCGACAAUGAAAUACCAUUAUUCAUCAUUUUUCCUACAUUAUUUGAUUAAAUGGAACGCAUAAAAUUUCCUAGCCAGGAAAUGGACCUAUUUCAUAUAUACAACCAGCAAUUCUUUGAUGCAAGAAAGACAUUCAAAGGACCAGGGACAAGCGAGCCAAUCUCAAACUAAUUGCAGAAGGAGAAAACCCAUGU
rnacentral:ncRNA from 1 species